UGGACGAACCUCCUGUAUGCCAGUUAUCCCGCCAGGGGUAUUGCUGGGUAGCGGAGUUCGGAAGGGAUAAACGCUGAAAGCAUCUAAGCGUGAAACCCGCCCCAAGAUAAGGUUUCCCCGUCCCGAAAGGGGCCUAAAGGACCCCGGAAGACUACCGGGUUGAUAGGCCACGGGUGUAAGAGCCGUAAGGCUUUCAGCCAAGUGGUACUAAUUGUCCGUGAGGCUUGGCCGUAUU
rnacentral:rRNA from 1 species